rnacentral:lncRNA from 1 species
AGCUCGUACGCUGAUCCGUGGUGGAAGUAAGUAAGUAGUUCCGGCUGUGGGCUGCGGCUGCGCUGUGUGCGGCCGUCGUCUCCCUCCUCCCUCCCCAUAGUUUAAUCUCCGGUACCGCGUCCCUGUCCGGCCACCGGGUGGUGGUUCGCGUCCGGGUUGGCCGAGCCGCGAAAGCGACCUCCCCUCCUCCCCCUCCUCUUCCUCUCCCCGUCGCCAAGAACCCACCCCACCCCGCACCCCCCCUCUCCUCCCANN